AUCACUUCUCGGCCUUUUGGCUAAGAUCAAGUGUUGUAUCUGUUCUUAUCAGUUUAAUAUAUGAUAUGUCGUCUAUCUGAUGACUAUAUAUUAAAUGAAUUUUUGGCACUAGGAACUGGAAUAAGAGCUUGUUCCAUCCAUUCCACACAUCGUCCUGGUAUUGCAGUACCUCCAGGAAUGGUGCACAAAGA